AAAAGACCCAAAAGAGUUAUGAAGCCUUCAAUUUCACCUGAAAUAGACCCUUGAAAAGCAAAUGGUUGGAAUGAAAUGACCUAACAGUGAAAUAGUCCAGGCAUUGAAAGAAGCAAAUGGAGACUGAAAAGGAGGCAGAAGCAUGGUACAAAGGCCAGGUAUGACUUCUGAUUUGAAGAGGAGGUAAAUGCUGAAGGAAGAGUCCAAAAAGUCAGCAUGAAAUUAGGUGUUUGCAGGCAAGGCCAAAGACAGCAGAGGAAGGAGUGAGAAAGGAGCUAAUGAGAGCACCUUUUCCUUCCCAGAUCUGGAUUUUCAGCAAACUACAGAAGACUUUAAGGGGCUAGGAGUACAAGCCGAGAAACUCUAAGGACAAAGCUGAGAGAAAUCUCCAUCUAGUGCCAAGAAGCUUUUAGAAUUUUGACUCUUUGGCCCAGAUCUCCACCUGGUGUUAAUUCCACUGAAAUCAGAGGAAUUAUGCAAGGAUCUGGGACUUCAUGUGAGAAAGAUUUAUAAUUGCAGAUUUGAAAAUGAGCAUGAGUUCACAGAAACAGAGCAUGUCUAGACAAAUGGAUAACUAUAAGAAGCUAGUUAUUGUAUUGUACUGUAAUGUUUACUGUUGCUUGAUGUUGUCAGGGUAACUGCUUUAAUUAAGUACCUCUGAAUUCCCUCUAAUCUUUACCUUAUUCUCAACUGCGUGAAGAUAAACCUUUUAUUGUAGUAUAUGUGUCAAUCCUUGAAGGCAUACAAGAGAAGAAACUGCUACCUAAAGCAUUUGUGAGUGUAUCAGUAGUUUCUGUGCUUGUUAGAGCUAUGCUAGGUCUUUGCA